rnacentral:rRNA from 1 species
ACGGGUGAGUAACGCGUAUGCAACUUGCCUAUCAGAGGGGGAUAACCCGGCGAAAGUCGGACUAAUACCGCAUGAAGCAGGGAUCCCGCAUGGGAAUAUUUGCUAAAGAUUCAUCGCUGAUAGAUAGGCAUGCGUUCCAUUAGGCAGUUGGCGGGGUAACGGCCCACCAAACCGACGAUGGAUAGGGGUUCUGAGAGGAAGGUCCCCCACAUUGGUACUGAGACACGGACCAG